AACGAACGCUGGCGGCAGGCUUAACACAUGCAAGUCGAACGCAUCCUUCGGGGUGAGUGGCAGACGGGUGAGUAACGCGUGGGAACGUGCCCUUCAGUUCGGGAUAACCCCGGGAAACUUGGGCUAAUACCGGAUACGUGCGGGAGCAGAAAGAUUUAUCGCUGAAGGAUCGGCCCGCGUCUGAUUAGCUAGUUGGUGGGGUAAUGGCCCACCAAGGCGACGAUCAGUAGCUGGUCUGAGAGGAUGAUCAGCCACAUUGGGACUGAGACACGGCCCAAACUCCUACGGGAGGCAGCAGUGGGGAAUAUUGGACAAUGGGCGCAAGCCUGAUCCAGCCAUGCCGCGUGAGUGAUGAAGGCCUUAGGGUUGUAAAGCUCUUUCGUCCGGGACGAUAAUGACGGUACCGGAAGAAGAAGCCCCGGCUAACUUCGUGCCAGCCGCCGCAGUAA
rnacentral:rRNA from 1 species